rfam:Brachypodium distachyon strain Bd21 chromosome 4, whole genome shotgun sequence.
CAGAGUACCCUUUGACCCUACUUAGUUCAACCAAAUGAAUUAAAAUUUUAAAAUUACACAACUUUUUGAAAACUAGUUCAUUUGUUUGAACUAAGGAGAGUCAAAGGGUACCCUG